rnacentral:lncRNA from 1 species
GGAGCAGAGAAGAAGAGGGGGAAGGAAAAGGAGGGGGAGGGGAGCAGGAGGAGUAGGAGGAGAAAGAGGAAGUGGGGAAAGAGGAAGAGGAGGAGGAAGAAAAAACAUUUUUUCCUGAGUCCUUGAGUUUCAUUAUCAAAGCUUCCACCCCCCAUAUUUUAUUAAAUAGACAUUUGGUGCUUCCUUUCUUUAAGCCUGUUUGCUGUUGGUACAGAAGUGUCAGCCAUGACCCUUUAUGAUGAAGAAAGUCUCACACCUGUCUACCCUGUGAUCACAAAUCUCCAUUGUCCAUUUGAUGGGACUUAGAAUCACAUGAUACUAAAAGUCUGCCUGUGCCUACGAGGGAGCUUCUGGACUAGGUUAAUUGAAGUGGGAAGACCGGCUCUAACUGAGGGCACCAUCCUCCCAUGGGCCUGGCUCUGAAUGAAUAUGACGGAGAACAGGACAUGAGGACCAAUGUCCAGCUGUCUGUGUUUCCUGGCUGAAGAUGCAAUGUCACCAGCUGCCUCUGGCCCCUGCCUCUCUUCUCUGCCUUGAUGAACUAUUUUAGAGGAUUCCCGGACUUAUUCUUUUAAUAACACAAGUAAGCAAACUUAGACCAAAUCUGCAAUAUGGUUCACUUAUCCAAGUACAAAGGUCAGAAUUCAUACUAACAUGUAAAAAGCAAGUCUUCGUUGGAGGACCUGAGGAAAAAAAUGGAUAUUAUCACAACUGAAUUUAGUUGUCAAGAACAAACCAGAAAAUAAAACGAAAGCACUCACCCAUGGGCUCUGGAGUCUUCCAGAUGGCAUACAAGGAUGCAGUGUGUAAAAUAAGAACAAAACAAAUACGUGACCUGAACUUUGGGUAAGUCACUCAGUGUUUCAUGACAGGGGUCUCUCAUCUGUAGACAGAACUGCUUAUCUCUUGACCAAUUUACAUGACAAUUGCAAGGAUCAAUUAAUUGUAACAUUGUAGCUUAAAAUAUUAUAUGUCAUUGGUGGAACAGAUCCUGUAUUGGUUACUUUUCUAGUCACUGUGACAAAAUGUCUGACAGAAGCAACUUAAGGAAGGAAAGACUUAUUUCAGCGCAUGAUUUCAGUCCAUCAUGGCAGAGAAUUAUGGUGGACCCACUCACCGUACAGCUGGAUGGAAAGUGCAUCGCAGACCAGAACCAGAACCAGAUAUAAUUGUAGGGUAUAAGGUCUUAACCCAUUUCCUCUUGAAAAUUCUUAACAGAACUCCACCAAUCCCUCAGCAUAAAAGUCCUCUAAUCCAUGAGCACGAAAACCAACCAAUCUCAGAGCACAAAAACGCGCUAAUUCCCCUCAUUGUGAAAUCCCACCAAUCCCUGGUCUUGCUCCGAGUACAGGACUUGAAACCUCACUAGUUCUCACUCUGCAAAUCUCUACCCCGGGGAACUCCUCCCCGUCAAGCCCUAUAUAAACCUGACUCCUGCCCCAUUCCCUGCUGCAUCUAUCUGCCCACAGCCC